GCUGGCGGCGUGCCUAAUACAUGCAAGUCGAACGAACUCUGGUAUUGAUUGGUGCUUGCAUCAUGAUUUACAUUUGAGUGAGUGGCGAACUGGUGAGUAACACGUGGGAAACCUGCCCAGAAGCGGGGGAUAACACCUGGAAACAGAUGCUAAUACCGCAUAACAACUUGGACCGCAUGGUCCGAGCUUGAAAGAUGGCUUCGGCUAUCACUUUUGGAUGGUCCCGCGGCGUAUUAGCUAGAUGGUGGGGUAACGGCUCACCAUGGCAAUGAUACGUAGCCGACCUGAGAGGGUAAUCGGCCACAUUGGGACUGAGACACGGCCCAAACUCCUACGGGAGGCAGCAGUAGGGAAUCUUCCACAAUGGACGAAAGUCUGAUGGAGCAACGCCGCGUGAGUGAAGAAGGGUUUCGGCUCGUAAAACUCUGUUGUUAAAGAAGAACAUAUCUGAGAGUAACUGUUCAGGUAUUGACGGUAUUUAACCAGAAAGCCACGGCUAACUACGUGCCAGCAGCCGCGGUAAUACGUAGGUGGCAAGCGUUGUCCGGAUUUAUUGGGCGUAAAGCGAGCGCAGGCGGUUUUUUAAGUCUGAUGUGAAAGCCUUCGGCUCAACCGAAGAAGUGCAUCGGAAACUGGGAAACUUGAGUGCAGAAGAGGACAGUGGAACUCCAUGUGUAGCGGUGAAAUGCGUAGAUAUAUGGAAGAACACCAGUGGCGAAGGCGGCUGUCUGGUCUGUAACUGACGCUGAGGCUCGAAAGUAUGGGUAGCAAACAGGAUUAGAUACCCUGGUAGUCCAUACCGUAAACGAUGAAUGCUAAGUGUUGGAGGGUUUCCGCCCUUCAGUGCUGCAGCUAACGCAUUAAGCAUUCCGCCUGGGGAGUACGGCCGCAAGGCUGAAACUCAAAGGAAUUGACGGGGGCCCGCACAAGCGGUGGAGCAUGUGGUUUAAUUCGAAGCUACGCGAAGAACCUUACCAGGUCUUGACAUACUAUGCAAAUCUAAGAGAUUAGACGUUCCCUUCGGGGACAUGGAUACAGGUGGUGCAUGGUUGUCGUCAGCUCGUGUCGUGAGAUGUUGGGUUAAGUCCCGCAACGAGCGCAACCCUUAUUAUCAGUUGCCAGCAUUAAGUUGGGCACUCUGGUGAGACUGCCGGUGACAAACCGGAGGAAGGUGGGGAUGACGUCAAAUCAUCAUGCCCCUUAUGACCUGGGCUACACACGUGCUACAAUGGAUGGUACAACGAGUUGCGAACUCGCGAGAGUAAGCUAAUCUCUUAAAGCCAUUCUCAGUUCGGAUUGUAGGCUGCAACUCGCCUACAUGAAGUCGGAAUCGCUAGUAAUCGCGGAUCAGCAUGCCGCGGUGAAUACGUUCCCGGGCCUUGUACACACCGCCCGUCACACCAUGAGAGUUUGUAACACCCAAAGUCGGUGGGGUAACCUUUUAGGAACCAGCCGCCUAAGGUGGGACAGAUGAUUAGGGUGAAGU
rnacentral:rRNA from 2 species